GACGAACGCUGGCGGCGCGCCUAACACAUGCAAGUCGAACGAGAGAUGAGGAGCUUGCUCUUCAAAUCGAGUGGCGAACGGGUGAGUAACGCGUGAGGAACCUGCCUCAAAGAGGGGGACAACAGUUGGAAACGACUGCUAAUACCGCAUAAGCCCACGGCUCGGCAUCGAGCAGAGGGAAAAGGAGCAAUCCGCUUUGAGAUGACCUCGCGUCCGAUUAGCUAGUUGGUGAGGUAACGGCCCACCAAGGCGACGAUCGGUAGCCGGACUGAGAGGUUGAACGGCCACAUUGGGACUGAGACACGGCCCAGACUCCUACGGGAGGCAGCAGUGGGGAAUAUUGCACAAUGGGGGAAACCCUGAUGCAGCGACGCCGCGUGGAGGAAGAAGGUCUUCGGAUUGUAAACUCCUGUUAUUGAGGAAGAUAAUGACGGUACUCAACAAGGAAGUGACGGCUAACUACGUGCCAGCAGCCGCGGUAAAACGUAGGUCACAAGCGUUGUCCGGAAUUACUGGGUGUAAAGGGAGCGCAGGCGGGAGAACAAGUUGGAAGUGAAAUCCAUGGGCUCAACCCAUGAACUGCUUUCAAAACUGUUUUUCUUGAGUAGUGCAGAGGUAGGCGGAAUUCCCGGUGUAGCGGUGGAAUGCGUAGAUAUCGGGAGGAACACCAGUGGCGAAGGCGGCCUACUGGGCACCAACUGACGCUGAGGCUCGAAAGUGUGGGUAGCAAACAGGAUUAGAUACCCUGGUAGUCCACACCGUAAACGAUGAUUAUUAGGUGUUGGAGGAUUGACCCCUUCAGUGCCGCAGUUAACACAAUAAGUAAUCCACCUGGGGAGUACGACCGCAAGGUUGAAACUCAAAGGAAUUGACGGGGGCCCGCACAAGCAGCGGAGUAUGUGGUUUAAUUCGACGCAACGCGAAGAACCUUACCAAGUCUUGACAUCCUGCGACGCACAUAGAAAUAUGUGUUUCCUUCUGGACGCAGAGACAGGUGGUGCAUGGUUGUCGUCAGCUCGUGUCGUGAGAUGUUGGGUUAAGUCCCGCAACGAGCGCAACCCUUAUGGUCAGUUACUACGCAAGAGGACUCUGGCCAGACUGCCGUUGACAAAACGGAGGAAGGUGGGGAGGACGUCAAAUCAUCAUGCCCCCUAUGACUUGGGGUACACACGUACUACAAUGGCGUUAAACAAAGAGAAGCAAGACCGCGAGGGGGAGCAAAACUCAGAAACAACGUCCCAGUUCGGACUGCAGGCUGCAACUCGCCUGCACGAAGUCGGAAUUGCUAGUAAUCGUGGAUCAGCAUGCCACGGUGAAUACAAUGCCGGGCCUUGCACA
rnacentral:rRNA from 1 species